GCAUGCCUCACAGUGGGGGCGUGUGUGACCUCUGAUGGACACCUCAGAUUGGUCAUGUGACCAAUCCAGGAAUUGAAGAAAGACAGACACCAGAGCUGAGCAAUGUGACAGGGGAGGAGGGAAAUGGGGUCCCACAGUGCCAGCAGCAGCCACCCGUGCACAGUGACUGGGAGUGAAGUGAAGUGUGCAUCGCCCGUCCGGCGGGGACCCGCUCGGCCGCUGCGGCGCUGGAUGAUGACGUCAUCGCGUAUUACGCGGUGCACGUCCGUGAACCCAUCACCAUGGUAACCCGUUGUGACACUCCUGAUAUAAACAAAGCAGCAUAUGUAACCAAGCUGCUGUGCAGUAAAUCUAUGACAUGGACAUAUACAACUAUAAUUAGAGCAUGUAGGGCUGUAAUAAGUUCAAAGAGUUACUGACGUUUCAGUUAGAAGAUGUUAAAAGGUACUGCAGUUGUUAUGGCUCCUAAUGUACUGAUAUGGAGUGUUGAAAGUGGAAGAUCUUAGCUAUAGUUGAUCCACACCUGUUUUAUGAAAUUGUUAUGAACAUGAAUAUAUGUUAACUAUUACAUUGCAACUAUGAUUUACAUUCCGCUGUAAAAUGCAAAAUAUUAGAUGUCUGGUUAUACUAGAUGAAUUUAAUGGUAUGAGUAGUUAUACUGCAUAAUAAAUGCUAAAGUGUGUCUGUAUAGAA